rnacentral:rRNA from 1 species
CAACUUUCAACAACGGAUCUCUUGGUUCUGGCAUCGAUGAAGAACGCAGCGAAAUGCGAUACAUAGUGUGAAUUGCAUAAUUCAGUGAAUCAUCGAAUCUUUGAACUCACAUUGCGCCCUUUGGUAUUCCAAAGGGCAUGCCUGUUCGAGCGUCAUUU